UGUUGGAGAGUGUUGUAUCAAGCCUGGACCUGAGAAAUGGAUUCCUCAGAGCUGUAAGACUUGUGACCAUGUUGAGGACUCCACACACUGGCUUCAGAUUGAACCCUUGACUUCCACUGUCCAGGGAGUGACAAUGUU